AACUCUGGUCUGAGGUACACGAACUACAUUUGAGGCUUAUCCUUGUGGGUGAGUUUGCGUAACAAAACAAAGCCCAAUAACUACCCGAAACAAGUAGAGUAUAUGUAGCGGAUAUAUGGAGUGAAA
rnacentral:autocatalytically_spliced_intron from 1 species